rnacentral:rRNA from 1 species
CGAAGGGUGAGGAACACGUGAGGAAUCUACCUUCCCUGUGGGAUACUUCGGGAAGCCGGGGCUAAUACCGGAUAUUUUCAACUGGCGGCAUCGCCGGUUGAAGAAAGUUUUUCGGUGAAGGAUGACCUCGCGGCCUAUCAGCUUGUUGGUGAGGUAAUGGCUCACCAAGGCAACGACGGGUAGCCGGCCUGAGAGGGCGACCGGCCACACUGGGACUGAGACACGGCCCAGACUCCUACGGGAGGCAGCAGUGGGGAAUAUUGGGCAAUGGAGGAAACUCUGACCCAGCGACGCCGCGUGAGGGAUGAAGGCCUUCGGGUUGUAAACCUCUUUCAGCAGGGAAUAAGCGAAAGUGAAGGUACCUGCAGAAGAAGCACCGGCUAACUAUGUGCCAGCAGCCGCGGUAAUACAUAGGGUGCGAGCGUUGUCCGGAAUUAUUGGGCGUAAAGAGCUCGUAGGUGGUCGAUCACGUCGGAUGUGAAAUUCUGAGGCUUAACCUCGGACCUGCAUUCGAUACGGGUUGACUAGAGUGUGGUAGGGGAGACUGGAAUUCCUGGUGUAGCGGUGGAAUGCGCAGAUAUCAGGAGGAACACCGAUGGCGAAGGCAGGUCUCUGGGCCAUUACUGACACUGAGGAGCGAAAGCGUGGGGAGCGAACAGGAUUAGAUACCCUGGUAGUCCACGCCGUAAACGGUGGGCGCUAGUUGUGGGAACCUUCCACGGUUUCUGCGACGCAGCUAACGCAUUAAGCGCCCCGCCUGGGGAGUGCGGUCGCAAGACUAAAACUCAAAGGAAUUGACGGG